GGAGAAGUCGCGUAGUCCGGCCGAGCGCGCAUGAUUGGAAAUCAUGUAUACCUUUCUGGUAUCGAGGGUUCGAAUCCCUCCUUCUCCGCCA
rnacentral:tRNA from 1 species